GAUGAACGCUGGCGGCGUGCCUAAUACAUGCAAGUCGAGCGAACAGACGCGGCGCUUGCUCCUCUGAUGUUAGCGGCGGACGGGUGAGUAACGUGUGGAUCACCUACCUAUAAGACUGAGAUAAUUUCGGGACACCGGAGCUAAUCCCGGAUAACAUGUUGAACCGCAUGGUUGAUCAGUGAAAGACGGCCUUGCUGUCACUUAUCGCUGGAUCCGAGCCGCAUUAGCUAGUUGGUAAGGUAACGGCUUACCAAGGCAACGAUGCGUAGCCGACCUGUGAGGGGGUACGGGCACUCUGAAACUGAGACGCGGCCCAGAGUCCGACGGGAGGCAGCAGCAGGGAAUCGUGCGCGAUGGGCGAAAGCCUGCCGGAGCAACGCCGCGUGGGUGAAGCAGGGCUGCGGAUGGUAAAACGCUGUUAUGAGGGAAGACCAAAUGUGUAAGUAACUAUGCGCGAGUUGACGGUAUCGAAACAGAAGGCCACGCCUAACUCCGU
rnacentral:rRNA from 1 species